CAUUCACACAACAACCCGUCGGUUCCCCUCGAGGGGCCGGCCAGGUGUGUGGAUGGGUAGGGGAGCGUCGUGUGGCGGUGGAAGCGGCGGAGUGAUCCAGCCGUGGACGCCACGCGAGUGAGAAUGCAGGCAUGAGUAGCGAGAGGGGAGUGAGAACCUCCCCCGCCGGAAGACCAAGGGUUCCUGGGCCAGGCUAAUCCGCCCAGGGUGAGUCGGGACCUAAGGCGAGGCCGACAGGCGUAGUCGAUGGACAACGGGUUGAUAUUCCCGUACCCGCGAAGGAACGCCCAUGCUGAACCCAGCGAUGCUAACCGCCCGAACACCACCUACUGAUCCCUUCGGGGUGAGGGGGUGGUUCUAGCGCGGGACCCGGA
rnacentral:rRNA from 1 species